rnacentral:rRNA from 1 species
UACGUAGGGGGCAAGCGUUGUCCGGAAUUAUUGGGCGUAAAGGGCGCGUAGGCGGAUAGUUAAGUCCGGUGUGAAAGAUCAGGGCUCAACCCUGAGAGUGCAUCGGAAACUGGUUAUCUUGAGGACAGGAGAGGAAAGUGGAAUUCCACGUGUAGCGGUGAAAUGCGUAGAUAUGUGGAGGAACACCAGUGGCGAAGGCGACUUUCUGGACUGGUAACU